ACGGGGUGCAGCAGGCGCGAAAACUUUACAAUGCGAGCAAUCGUGAUAAGGGAACCCCGAGUGCCUGUAUACGCAGGCUGUUCAGAUGUCUAAACAACAUCUGGAGAAAGGGCCGGGCAAGACCGGUGCCAGCCGCCGCGGUAAUACCGGCGGCUCGAGUGGUGGCCACUAUUACUGGGCUUAAAGCGUCCGUAGCUGGGUUGUUAAGUCUCCUGGGAAAUCUGCCGGCUUAACCGUCAGGCGUUCAGGAGAUACUGGCAAUCUCGGGACCGGGGGAGGUGAGAGGUACUCCGGGGGUAGGAGUGAAAUCCUGUAAUCCUCGGGGGACCACCUGUGGCGAAGGCGUCUCACCAGAACGGCUCCGACAGUGAGGGACGAAAGCUGGGGGAGCAAACCGGAUUAGAUACCCGGGUAGUCCCAGCUGUAAACGAUGCGCGUUAGGUGUGUCGAUAACCACGAGUUAUCGAGGUGCCGAAGGGAAACUGUUAAACGCGCCGCCUGGGAAGUACGGUCGCAAGGCUGAAACUUAAAGGAAUUGGCGGGGGAGCAC
rnacentral:rRNA from 1 species